GGUCUUUAGAAUGAAGGCAAUUACUUGAGAGCUGACAAGUAAAGGGUACUUCCAUCAGCUUGUUUUUAAGUAUUUCUUCCGUGACAACAGUCACAUGUUUUUACUUGGAAGUUCAAAAGGAGAGGCGCAGAUGUGUCAAGAGUAAGUAUUUAUUGAGUUGGCAUUCACCAACAUGAGGCAGAGUCACAUCAGCAGGGAAACGAGUAGCAAUAUCUGACGAAGUGAAAUAGUAGCUAGCUGCAAGUGUGUGUUCUGUUUCCUGGCAUCAACAGCAUCGUUUCACUUCAGAAGAAUAGCAUGGUGACAGACGGAUGACAUUUAGACAUCCCAUCCUCAGUGAUCAGAACAUCGCUUAGCGACCACAUUCCAGGAAGUAAAAAGCAGAGCAGUUGAGUCUUUAAAAGGCCACAGCCAUCCUCCAUGUCGCAACCAUCUCAGAUAUAAGUUUCUGCCUCGCCCACUCAGUGAGACAGAAACUGGACACUGUCUAGCACCAAACAGGCAGCACCAGAUAUCACUUCUUAUAUCGCUCAUGUCCACUCCUAUUUAUAAAUGCUGUUUCAAGGCAUAUCACAGAACUAGAGUGUGUGUUUAUAUGUAUGCAAGUGCUUAAUAAGCAGAAACCCCUGCAGCUAAGUGCUGAGGUGCCUUAAGGUCCUCUUCUCCUGCAUGCUCGCUCCAAUUCAUAGGAAAACCUAUUUUUAAUGUCCUUAAGGAGACAUAUAGUAUUGACCUGUGAGAUGUUUGGGGCUCUAAUAGUAGGUUCUCAUUCAGUUUCUCUAUAGACAAUAUUAGGUGACUGACAUGAGCACUUUGAAGGCUUGCAGGAGUAUAGAAAUUGCCCAGUGGAAUCAUAAAUGGAAUAAAUGUGAUAAAGUGCCCUCUUGGUAGGCCUUCCAGUAGACAAAAUGCAAUAAAGAUCCUUCCCUCGUUGUUCACUUUC